rnacentral:lncRNA from 1 species
CAUCCAUCAACCGCGCUGCAAAUGGCCUCAGAAACUUAUAUGAGAGCAUCGAUGAUUUGCUUCUCUUGCCUCACAUUCAGCAGAUCGUUUCUGAGGAGUGUGUUGAUAAUUACAUCAGCCUAUUGGAUGCUAGCAGCUCAGUUAAGGAUCUCAUCUCACUCGUGAAGGAAGAUCUACGAGAGCUUCUCUCUGCUGUAAGGAGAAAGGAUGCUCGAGGCAUAAACGGCUACCUUGCUUUAAGAAAGCAGUCGAAGAAAAAGAUCCAAAAGUGUUUGAAGAAGUUGAGACGUAGCAGCGCCUCAGCCUUUUCUGAGAAUGUUUCCAUGUUGAAAGAUGCAGAGUCAGUUGCCAUUUCCUUGCUCGAGUCUCUCUUGUCCUACACGUUGGGGAUGACAAUGCAAGAAAGCAUCAGACGACGAGAAUGAGUUCAACAAGGUGGAUUCAUUCCUGCAACUGAAUCAAGAAAACGAGCUCGUGAAUCACUUGAAAGAGAUGGACUCGAGCAUUCAAGUUGUUGAAGAAGAACUUGAAUCGGUAUUCAGGCAGAUGAUCAAGACCAGACUUUCCCUUCUCAACAUUCUCAACAACUAGAGAUUGAAAAUUUUGUAACUAGUACAUGAAUAUAUAUACUUGUAUAUAUCAAAUUGAUUCACAAGGAUCAUUACAAUACAAUCAGAAAAUUUUCUGCUACAUUCUUGUUCAAUAUCCUGAUAUUAGUAUAUGCUUAAUUUAUCUAUUCAUUCUUAUUGUUGACUUGAAUAUACAAGAUGACAUAUCAAUACAACAAGAUUUACAGCAUCAUACUAUGUUCAUAACUAACAAGAUUUAUAUCUUACAUGUCUACUAACAAAGUUCUAAUAUUAUCUUAUUCAGUUUGUAAUAAUAUUCUCUCCCUCAUUCUAUAUAAAAUCAACAGCUACAUGACUAUCAAAUCAACAGCUACAAGAUAACUGAGCUCUAAAAUACUAUCUAAACUGAUGUCUUCGACAUUUACAGAAAUCAUCUCAAGGUGAUAUCUAAACUGAUGUCUUCGACAUUCAGUUUGCUACAUUUUCUUUUUCAGUUAACAUAAUUAUUUUAGAUAUUUAAAUGCCUAAUUUAUUCUAAUAGGAGAUAUUCGAAGUUCCCAAAGAUGCAGACCAUUGGAUUUUGUUGUCUAUAGGCAAAAAGAGGAGACAUUGGAAAUCUAGAGUCAAAGGUGGGUCUUUUGUUCCUACAUUAGCGAUCGAGAAUCAGGCCCACAAUAGACCUAUUCGGGUACAUGAAGAUCAGUGGAAGAAUUUGUUAUCAUAUUGGGCAAAAGAAGAUGUACAGGUAUAUAAAUUUUGACGCAUUAGUUUAUUCACAUAUUAUUCAACUAACUUCUAGUUUUCAGGAAAUAAGUGAUAAAAAUAGAGAUCAUAGAAAGUGUUCUUCUAUGCAACAAACUACUGGAAAGAUAAGUUUUGCCGAAGUUGAGGAAGAGUUGGUAUGAUUUUAUUUCUUUAUUGUUGAGCUAUUUUACAUUACCAACAAAUGAACGUAUUAGCAUGUUAAUUUCUUUUUGCAGAAAGAAAAAUUGGGUCGAUCCCCAUCACGUGUCGAGAUGUUUGAAGCUUGUUACACUGAUCUCAGUGGUAACCCAUCAUCCGAUGAAGUUGGAGUUGCACUGGUAAGAUUAAAUUUUAAAGAUAGUCAUAAAAAGUCAAGUUUUAUAUGUUAAAACUUACAAGUUAAAUGUUUUUUAUAAACUGACAUGACAGGGAGAAAUGAAAGAAAUUCAAUCUAAAUUUUCAACUGAUUUCCAAGAUUCAGUUGGACCAAGUGACACAUUUUCUAGAGUUAUGGGCAAAGAACCCCGUGGUAGAGUACGAAUGAUUGGUUUAGGUGUUAACCCUUCUGACAUAUCAGGUGGUGUUCCUAGUCGUAGUGAGUGUUAUCGAAUGUUUUUGGAAAAUCAAGAAGCGCUGGUAAGAAUGGAAGAAAAAGUAAACGCAGCGACAACUCUGAUUGCAAGUUUAACAAAAAAAUGCAGCAGAAUACUAGUUUUUCUACAGGACAGCAACCUACAUCUCCGAGUCAGUCGUCCAACUCAGUAAAUAUAGGACACUCUUUUCAGGUAUAUUCUUUUUAUUUUGAGCCUGAUUAAUUUAGUCAUCAAUAAUCAGUUGUUAUAUUAUGGGAGAGAGUUGUGUGCCUGCUUUUAUCAUUAUUUGCUCUCCUACCUCUGUCUUUGCUUUUACUGAUUUUGUUUCCUCCUAAAACUGAGUUUCAGCCCAAUAUAUUGUAGUGUUGGUUGUUGUAAAAGUCAUGUAGCUAUUGAGAUAAAAUAAAUGUUCUAUUAGUGGCUAAUUUAGGACAUGCAUUUCAGGUUGGGGAUGAGGUGCUUUUGAAAAGCUUAUUCAAUUCUAGAAAAGCUGUGGCAAAAGGUCGUAUUCGUAGUGUUGAUCCAAAUCAAGAAGUUGGAGGAAAACGACUUGGACUACAAUGGUGUGAAGUUCAAGUUUCAGUUCCAAUAGAAUGGGAUGAAGAACUAAUUAGGCCGUAUUCGAAUUUGUCUACAAUUGGAGACGCAAUCGGAACAUGCGUUGCAUGGCCUCACCACUUGGUAAUCAUCUUUAUUUGUCUAUGUUGUUGAUUAUGUUGGUAUGCUUGUUCUAUUUUAAAAUAUAAUUGAUAGCAUUGCCAAGAAAAUGCACCUGUAUUUUUUGUUGCAGCAGAUAGCAGUUAACAUAUUUCAACACCACAAAAUUGACAUUUAAUAUUCCAGUUAACAUGUUGUUAUCUCUGUCUCCUUCAUCACAACCAUACAGUACUUCUCCCAAUUUGUCUACAAUUCUAAUGAUUUUUUCUCUUACAAAUUUAGGUGAAAGCCGAUGAUUUGGAUUGAUGAGAUGCUGAAAUAGCUUUAAAAGUGAAGCCUAGCUAGAGGUCUCAUUCUAAAAGAAAGUGAACUGAUGAGCAGAAACUCAUUCUAAAACAAUUGAUAUCAAUAUAGACAAUAUGUAAUAAGCUUUUUACUCAUGAUUGAGUAGCUAUUCCUUCAACAGAAUAUUCAUUAGUGAUGUUUGAAAUUUUAGAUUUGAAAUAAAGCAUUUUAUAUUGGGAUUGAUCUCAUAUUUUAAAAGCAUUAGUUAUAACAUUAUUUCCAUAUUAUAAUUGUAUUUUAAAAGCCUACUAGCAUCCUAAAAUAAGGGACUGCAAUCAUCCCAGAAUAGGACAGAAAAAAAAGUCCUAUUAUGUAUUUUGUGGUAAACCUUUAAUAGGACUCUCCUGAGUGUCCUAAACUAAGUGUCCCAGAAUAGGACAUGCGCAUGCGUCCUAUUACACAUAUUGUGACUAGCGCAGAUAGGACUCAUUUCGGGAGAGUCCUAUACGAGGGAAAGUCCUAUUAUAUUGCAUAAUAGGACACUUAUGAGAGUCCUAUAAAGAGAUUUUUGUUGUAGUGCCUGAAAUAACAUGCAUCAAUCAAGUAUAGUCGGGUGAUUUCUUCUUCACAUCACAAGCACAUUUCCAAAAGUGGAAACAUAUAAGAAUAACCCAUUUGUUAAAGUUUGCUACACUACAUACCAACUUUCUGAAAUUGAUACACUAGCUACCCUUUUUAAUUUUUUGUCAUUUAUUAAUUGUAAAUCAAAUUAUUUCAAGUACAAUAUGGAUAUCAGCUGUAAAUAUACAAGUCCUAUGAGAAAACAAAGAAUAGCGAAGUUGCAAAAAGCAAGCAGUAACAUAUAAGAUGAAGGCAUGAGUUCUUACUUCAGUGGCAGCUAGUUUCUUUACAUC